rnacentral:lncRNA from 1 species
GAAAAAGUUAAUAGAAGCUGUAAAUUAUUUUGUUCCUGACGUAUUUUUCCUAAAGGUGGUACAUUAUAUGAAUAAUAGAGGUCUAUGUAAAAUAAUUAGUUUAAAAGGUUGAAAAAUUUUAUUAUAUAAUUUGCAAAAUAAUUGCACUUUUUAAACUUGGAAAUAAUACUCUCUAAAGUAAUUUGUGUAGGGAAAUUAUACAGUAAUAUUUAGUAUGGAAAGUAGAACAUUGCAUCUUUGGAAAAUUGGAAAAAGUUAAUAGAAGCUGUAAAUACAAAAACAUAUUACACAUCUGUCUACAUGGGAUCAUGCCUGUGGAGCUAACAAAAAGGAGUAAAUUAUUAACUUGAUUCCAUGUAGAGGCAUAAAGCAAUCUCCCCUGGAGGACUGUUUGGCUUAGUGUCCUAUAAUGGGACAAGUUAAAUGCUUUAGAAAGGUACUGGAUUCUGUUAAAAUAUAUAUAUUUAAUUCUUAGGUCAGGAAAAUUAAUUUUCCAGAUAUGAUUUUGAAUCUGUCUACACAAUCUCAAUUACCAGUUUCAUUUUUUUUAAACUAUGUCCUAGAAACAUCUACCAUUUCUGAGCCUUACACAUGAGUUCAGGAACUCCUGAAUGGUUAUAAUUUAAGAAAUAUUUUUUGAUUAACUUAGAGAAGUUCAUUAUGGCUUUGUUAAAUGAAAAUCUUACCACUUCAUACAGUUCAAAAAUGUUAUGAUUUUGAAACAUUAACUCUGCAGAAGAAACAGUUUGUGAAUAAAAAUUAUAACUAUCUUGAUACUAUGCUAAUUUUUUUCAAUUUUUCACUAUUUUCUUACAAAUAAUAGUGUGUAUCUUAGAACUAUUAUAAUUGAUUAUAAAUGUAUCCUAUCCAUAUAAUAUCUUCACCUCACAUGAACUUUAUGUAGUUGUCAAAAUCCCUUAGAAUGAGUAAAAUGAUUAACAUAAUAAUAUAACAAAUAUGUUUAUAAAUGUAUAAAUGUGUUUAUAAGAAAGUCAUUUAUCAUUUUAUAAUUUUUGUGACUACAGACAACUUGGCAAAUGCAGAAAAACAAUAACCCCCAACUCCCAGAUAUAAUUUUGUUGAAACCUAUGAUAUUUCAUUUAUAGAUUUAUGUAGUAAUUUAUUUCUCUAUUCUUCUGUACCUCUUCACUUAUUUCCUAUUUUUCAUUAAUUAUAAAUAACAGCAUAAGAAAAUUACUUUACAAAUAUAUUUGCUCAUGUAACAGAUGAGUAAAAAUACAUAAUUUUUAAAAUAAAAAUGCAUUUUUCCAAUGAGGUAUGAAACUUUAUAAACAACCAAUGGAACUGAAACAGUGUAAAAAUUAGUUUCUGAUAAUAUUUUAAGAAGUUACUUUAAAAUUGAGAUUUAGGCUUAAUAUUGAAUGAAAAAGUUUUAAAUUAUUUUCUGAUUUCACUGUUUGAGUUUUGAGGGAUAAUGUUUAUGCAAGUGUGAUUUUUUUUUUUAUUAUGGAUCAAUGAUUUUAAAAGGUGUAGUCCCUAAUCCAAGUUAAUGGAACAUUUUCUUAUAUAGUCAUAAUGUCUCCCACAUAUUAGGUGACCUCCAUUUUUCCCUAUGAAUUGCUUUUAAAAUUGUUGAAGGAUGGAAAAUUACCAUGGGUGGGUGAUUCUGUAAACCUUUGCAUAGAUAGUCGGAUACUUGUUCACAUGUAAUAACAACUCACCUCUUUUCAUAGUCCUCACGUGCAGAUUUGUCAAAGUUAUGACAACUAGGAUGGGACUAGAUGCCAUGAAAAGUCACAUUAGAGACUUAAAAAAAAGUUAAAGGUUGAAUCAAUCCUAUUUUGGUAUUUUUAUUCAUCUAUUAUUGAGCAAUUUAUUCCUAGUCAUAAUAAUAUUUAUAUAACCCUUGUUCCAGAUGUACACAAAAAUUGGCAUGGUAGGUUUUUUAGGUCAUAAACUAAAUUUAACAUAUAAUGUAAUUUUUAAAAUCAUUUUUCUAUUACUAUUCAAAUGCUCACUCUUUUAUAUGAUAAAAACUUUAUAUCACACAGUUAGGGGAAGUUUCCUUUGGUUUUUGCCUAGAGUUUUUUAAAAAUCUCAUUAGACUUUGAAACCAAGGUCUUUGAGAAAAACAUUAAGAAAAACAAGGAGAACAAUCCAUUAGUUAUAUGCAGAGGAGAAUGAACAAUAGGCAGGGGUAAGAAAGCAGGCAUUUUCUGAUCCCACAGGUUACCAGUGACUGUAUUCUCUUUGCCCUAUUCAAAACCAAUAACAAGGUUCAUCAGCUUGCUGUACCCUAUAUAAUCUGCUCUUGGACUUACAAGAAAACAUUUACCGACUUCCACACUGUAUGAAACUCCCUCAGAGCUAUCUCAUACCCAACUGCCCAUAGUAGGCAAUGAAGUUCGUCUCUUCCUCCUUUCCUUCCUGCCCCUUCUGCUCCUCCUCCUCCUUCUUUACCAUACUAUCUCGAAAAAAAAAAAAGAAAAAA